rnacentral:snRNA from 1 species
AGCUUUGCACAGUGGUGAUAUUGUAGCCAAUGAGGUUUAUCCAAGGUGAGAUUACUGCAAAUCGAAAACUCUUCCUAGUACCCCACUGUGAUGGCUUGACGUAUAGUUAGCAUUGGCAAUUUUUGACAGUUUCUAUGGAGA